GGGGCUAUAGCUCAGCUGGGGAGAGCGCCUGCCUUGCACGCAGGAGGUCAGCGGUUCGAUCCCGCUUAGCUCCACCAU
rnacentral:tRNA from 1 species